AUUGAACGCUAGCGGGAUGCUUUACACAUGCAAGUCGAACGAGUGGCGGAAGGGUGAGUAAUAUAUCGGAACGUGCCCAGUAGCGGGGGAUAAAUACUCGAAAGAGUGGAUAAUAACGCAUACUAUUGGAACGGCCGAUAUUGGAUUAGCUUGUAGGGGGGGGAAAGGCUCACCAAGGCAACGAUCAGUAGCUGGUUUGAGCGGAAGACCAGCCACACUGGGCCUGAGACACGGCCCAGACUCCUACGUGAUGCAGCAGGGGUGAAUUGUGGACAAUGGGGGAAACCCUGAUGCAGCCAUCCCGCGUGUAUGAGAAGGCCUUCGGGUUGUAAAGUACUUUUGGCAGAGAAGCGGUAUCUGCAGAAUAAGCACCGGCUAACUACGUGCCAGCAGCCGCGGUAAUUC
rnacentral:rRNA from 1 species